GAUCGAGCAUGUUCCCAGCAUGGCAAAGUCUAGGUUGUCUGUCUGCAGGGAAAGGGCCUGGGGGAAUUGUGAUGCGAAAUGAACUAAAGCCAGUUCUGAAACCUCCACAACUGCCCUUCUCACCCUGCCAGGCUGCAGAAUGACGCUCACGUCUCGCUCCGGUUCAUCCCAUCCUCCCGUGGGACAGGGAAGGGAAAUGGCUGCAGAGGAGCCCGUUCAGGGUUUCCAGUUUCCAAACCUGAUGUGAUCUCGCAGCUGGAAUGAGGGGAACAGCCGUGGGUCUCAGACCUCUAUGGCUCUGAAAAAAAGUGCUCCCGAGAGCUGUCUGCACAGGCUGAAAGGCUGCUGGAAAUAUAUAAGAACCCUGGGACAUGAUCCUGCUUCAUCUCAGAUCUGCUUUCGGUUUCAAGAGAGGGAACUCUUAAACCAUAAGGAUUGAGAUCCCGAGUCACUGACUGGAGUCAUCCUGAAUAUGGAUAUUGUACUGUAACCUCUGGACUAUUUCUAAAAGGACUUUUGGCAACUACAAGCUCACCUCUGCUAUGCAUCUGAACCUCA